CUGCUUUAAGAUAUUGGUGAUACCUUGAGCUCAUUUGCAAAUGGCCAUCUUGAAGCAGUCUUCAGAGUUACCAUUUUAUAUCAUUUAAAAAAAAGGAUAGAAGAAGAAUAAAGUGAUGAAGAACAAGCUGCUUGACAUAAUGUCUCACCUGGGCACAGCCAGCUCCAGCAAUGAAGCAGCUGCAGAACACCUUCAUCUCCUCAGCUGUUUACAAACAAAUAGCAGGCUGACGCUGACAUCUCUGCAGCACCCCAACUGUUUGCCAAUACCUGCUUUUUGGGACCCCCCAUUCCCGGUAUCUGUGGAUGGUAUCCUGCUCUGAAGCAGCAGAGGGAAAUGUUUCUGUGUCACCUGCAGCUGCACAGUACCCUGAAAGGCAAAGCCUGUCCUGCUCUUCAAGCAUGUCAUCUGCUGCCUGACUCUAUGCAGGAAUCGCUCUCACUGUGGCAUCUGCCUCUUUGGAAGCCACGUACAAGUGAGCAGGAGGAGCACAGAGCACUGAGUUUCCCAGCCCAGAUGAGUCUCAGUAGGAAAAGUAUCCUUUAAUUGCUUAAAAUCCAUCACAUUCGGUGACACCUCGCUCCGGCACAAAGGAAGGCGGCAUAUCUAUGACAACCCCUUGCUUUGCACACCUCAGCCUCGGGAGCUGCCAAAGGGACAGCAUUCAGCUUCGGUGCCUCGCACUUGCUCCAAUAUUUCCACCUCAUUCGCGUAGUGACGCUGUAGGGAGAGCGAGCAGAGCCAAGCGAGGCGAGGAAACCCUCGACUUCGGGCUGGCGGAGCCGAGCGCACGGCACCAUCCCCACCUGGUGGUGGGCGCCUGCCCGGGGACGAGAGCGCUCCUGCGUAGAGAAAAAGGUUUAGAAAGGUUUUAGAGGUUUUCUUUUCCUUUUUCUUUUUCCUUUUUCCUUUUCCUUUCCUUCUCCCUAAAAAUAGGAAAUCUGACAUUCUGGUACCCAGAGAUGCUGCACAGCAUGGGUGUUUCUAGAUCUCACUGAUCAACUCAGGGAAAUAAUCCAUUGUCUGUAGUGGGGUGGCAGUGUAAGGCUCCUUUUUUGGGUAGCAGUUCAGAGAAAAACAUAUUUUUUUCUCGAAGAUAUUGGUCAGAAUAAGAAGCAUCUGCUGGAAAACCCAAGCUCACCCCUCCUGGGUGAGAUGGUAUAACUGCAAGUAUGAAGAAGAAUCAGCACCCCUAAAUGCCACAGGUGGAAGUAUGGCAAUGUGUGAAUGCAGGUGGAAACUCAGUGUCUUACUGCCACCUGCA